rnacentral:rRNA from 1 species
CGCCUCUUGCCAGCCACCUAUAAGAGGUCCCGCCUGCCCCCUGACUAUAUGUUAAACGGCCGCGGUAUUUUAACCGUGCAAAGGUAGCGUAAUCACUUGUCUUUUAAAUGAAGACCCGUAUGAAUGGCAUCACGAGGGCUUAGCUGUCUCCUUUUUCCUGUCAAUGAAAUUGAUCUCCCCGUGCAGAAGCGGGGAUAAGCACAUAAGACGAGAAGACCCUGUGGAACUUUAGGCCUUUAAGCAGACUAUGUAAAACAACCAUAAAUAAUUGAAAAAACUAAUUAACCCCUGCUCCCAUAUGCCUUUGGUUGGGGCGACCAUGGGGAAAUAAAAACCCCCCACGUGGACUAGGAGAACUAGCACUAACCCUCCUACAACCCAGGGCUACAGCCCUAAGUAGCAGAACCUCUGACCUACUUCGAUCCGGCACUAGACCGAUCAACGAACCCAGCUACCCCAGGGAUAACAGCGCAAUCCCCUCCCAGAGCCCAUAUCGACGAGAGGGUUUACGACCUCGAUGUUGGAUCAGGACAUCCUAUUGGUGCAGCCGCUAUUAAGGGUUCGUUUGUUCAACGAUUAAAGUCCU